GUGGGGAAUAUUGCACAAUGGGCGCAAGCCUGAUGCAGCGACGCCGCGUGAGUGAAGAAGUAUUUCGGUAUGUAAAGCUCUAUCAGCAGGGAAGAAAAUGACGGUACCUGACUAAGAAGCCCCGGCUAACUACGUGCCAGCAGCCGCGGUAAUACGUAGGGGGCAAGCGUUAUCCGGAUUUACUGGGUGUAAAGGGAGCGUAGACGGAAUGGCAAGUCUGAUGUGAAAGGCGGGGGCUCAACCCCUGGACUGCAUUGGAAACUGUUAUUCUUGAGUGCCGGAGAGGUAAGCGGAAUUCCUAGUGUAGCGGUGAAAUGCGUAGAUAUUCGGAGGAACACCAGUGGCGAAGGCGGCUUGCUGGGCUCUAACUGACGCUGAGGCUCGAAAGUGUGGGGAGCAAACAGG
rnacentral:rRNA from 1 species